rnacentral:rRNA from 1 species
UGGUGGAGUGAUCUGUCUGGUUUAUUCCGAUAACGAAUGAGACCUUAACCUGCUAAAUAGUAACGCGAACCUUCUAAUCGUGUUUUCCUUUUAACCUUGGCAACAUUGUUAACUGGUUUUCCGGAAUGGUUCUGCGGCUUUACUUCUUAGAGGGACUAUGCGUAUCGAGCGCAUGGAAGUUUGAGGCAAUAACA